UUAUGGCGGCGGGCGAGUGCGGUUCCUUUUGUGUGUUGAUCCUAUUGAAUGCGUCUUCCUCGCGUUGGAUUUGGUGAGUACCUGUAUCACAGGUCACACCGUGGGACUGACACCGCUGGAGCAACCCUUCGGAAUAAAGUCAAGUACAAAUUACGGUUUGCUAGGCGUUAGGUGUUAGGCAUAGGGCGAUAGGCGGCGCGGCUAACCAUUCUCUUCCAGGUACAAACUAACCUUCUCGUUAAUUAUCUAGUCUUCCCCAGUAAUGUUCUGGUUAGCGCACCGUGGCGGCGAUCCAGGAGCCUCGUGCUGGUGGUGGUGGUGGUGGCGUGGCUGGCUGGCUGGCUGUGGCGGGCGUGCACGUGCUAUCAUAUGGUACGUGAAUGAUUGGGUUUAGUACGGUUAGUGAAAUGAUGUACAGUUUCAUAUCACUUUUUUAGUUUUAUUUAUUUUUUGGGUGUGUGGUUUGAUAUGGUGUUUUUUGUUGUUCCAGGGUUGCGUGGUAGGUGCGUUCACUGGUCUGGGGUGUGUUGGUGUGUGUUCUGAAGAGAUGACCGCAGACACGCUGGCUGCUGAUGACUAUAUAGAGCCGCACAGAGGCAGUGUACUGUACAAGCUGGAUGGAAGUAUGCAAACCUCGCAAUGAAGAUGGAAAAGUAACAUGAACAAGGUUGUGAAUGUUCGGGUGUGGUGUGGAUGAGCAAGUGAGCGAGCUGGCAUUGGGAGCCGAGCGGGGGAGGCAGCGCGACGUGAGGCUAGCCAAGAUGUAGGAAGAUUGUACUGUACUUAUGCUAUGGAAUGGUGUUGUUACUGUAAAGCAUACUUAAGAAAGAU